UUGCAUGGAGCCCCUUAUGCAGGAUAAGACAGGCCCCGAAGCCACAUCGUCAGCUGUGGGUCAGAGGAAGAUCCUGGGGCUUCUCCACCAUGGCCUGGACCCCUCUCCUGCUCCCCCUCCUCACUCUCUGCACAGGUUUGGUGGCCUCUUCUGCAGUGACUCAGCCUCCCGCAGUGUCUGUGAGCCCAGGACAGACAGCCAGGAUCACCUGCCAGGGAGAGUCCCUGAGAAGCUAUUAUCCUACCUGGGUGCAGCAGAAGCCAGGCCAGGCCCCUGUAACAGUCGUCUAUGGGAACAACAAUCGGCCCUCAGGGAUCCCCGACCGAUUCUCUAUCUCAUACUCAGGGGACACGAACACCCUGACCAUCAGCGGGGCCCGGGCUGAGGAUGAGGCUGACUACUUCUGUGCAGUGACGCAGAGUAGUGGUAGUAAUACUCACAGUGACACAGGCAGACAGGGAACCCUCACCCAGUUCUCCGAGGGCAGGCAGCAGUGCAUUGAGGGCUCGCAGGACCAGAAAGUCCUGGGGAUUUCAAGGCCAGGGUGUGAAUAG